rnacentral:rRNA from 1 species
GACGUAGGGCGCGAGCGUUGUCCGGAUUUAUUGGGCGUAAAGAGCUCGUAGGCGGCCUGUCGCGUCCGCUGUGAAAUCCCGGGGCUUAACCCUGGGCUGGCUUUCGAUACGGGCAGACUAGAGGUAUGCAGGGGAGAACGGAAUUCCUGGUGUAGCGGUGAAAUGCGCAGAUAUCAGGAGGAACACCGGUGGCGAAGGCGGUUCUCUGGGCAUUACCUGACGCUGAACUGCGAAAGCUAGGGGAGCGAACGGG